rnacentral:siRNA from 1 species
GAGAUAAUGUUAACAAGCGGCUGC